rnacentral:rRNA from 1 species
AGUGAACGCUGGCGGUAGGCCUAACACAUGCAAGUCGAACGGCAGCACAGUAAGAGCUUGCUCUUACGGGUGGCGAGUGGCGGACGGGUGAGGAAUACAUCGGAAUCUACUUUUUCGUGGGGGAGAACGUAGGGAAACUUACGCUAAUACCGCAUACGACCUACGGGUGAAAGCAGGGGAUCUUCGGACCUUGCGCGAUUGAAUGAGCCGAUGUCGGAUUAGCUAGUUGGCGGGGUAAAGGCCCACCAAGGCGACGAUCCGUAGCUGGCCUGAGAGGAUGAUCAGCCACACUGGAACUGAGACACGGUCCAGACUCCUACGGGAGGCAGCAGUGGGGAAUAUUGGACAAUGGGCGCAAGCCUGAUCCAGCCAUACCGCGUGGGUGAAGAAGGCCUUCGGGUUGUAAAGCCCUUUUGUUGGGAAAGAAAAGCAGCAGGUUAAUACCCCGCUGUUCUGACGGUACCCAAAGAAUAAGCACCGGCUAACUUCGUG